rnacentral:rRNA from 1 species
CAGUAGCCGCGGGAAUACAGAGGGUGCGAGCGUUAAUCGGAUUUACUGGGCGUAAAGCGUGCGUAGGCGGCUUUUUAAGUCGGAUGUGAAAUCCCUGAGCUUAACUUAGGAAUUGCAUUCGAUACUGAGAAGCUAGAGUAUGGGAGAGGAUGGUAGAAUUCCAGGUGUAGCGGUGAAAUGCGUAGAGAUCUGGAGGAAUACCGAUGGCGAAGGCAGCCAUCUGGCCUAAUACUGACGCUGAGGUACGAAAGCAUGGGGAGCAAACAGGAUUAGAUACCCCCGGAGUCCCUGUCUCUUAUAC